rnacentral:tRNA from 1 species
CCCAUGGUGUAGUGGUUAUCCUUUUCCACCUAACACGCGGAAGGUCCCAGGUUCGAAACCUGAUGUGUCAAGG